UCCGUAGGGGGCAAGCGUUGUCCGGAUUUAUUGGGCGUAAAGAGCGUGUAGGCGGCCGUACAGGUCAGCUGUGAAAACUCGAGGCUCAACCUCGAGACGCCGAUGGAAACCGUUUGGCUAGAGUCCGGAAGAGGAGAGUGGAAUUCCUGGUGUAGCGGUGAAAUGCGCAGAUAUCAGGAAGAACACCCGUGGCUAAGGCGGCUCUCUAGUACGGUACUGACGCUGAGACGCGAAAGCGUGGGGAGCGAACAGG
rnacentral:rRNA from 1 species